rnacentral:rRNA from 1 species
ACACGUGUGCAACCUGCCUUUAUCAGGGGGAUAGCCUUUCGAAAGGAAGAUUAAUACCCCAUAAUAUAUUUGUCGGCAUCGAUGGAUAUUGAAAACUCCGGUGGAUAGAGAUGGGCACGCGCAAGAUUAGAUAGUUGGUGAGGUAACGGCUCACCAAGUCUGCGAUCUUUAGGGGGCCUGAGAGGGUGAUCCCCCACACUGGUACUGAGACACGGACCAGACUCCUACGGGAGGCAGCAGUGAGGAAUAUUGGACAAUGGGUGCGAGCCUGAUCCAGCCAUCCCGCGUGAAGGACGACGGCCCUAUGGGUUGUAAACUUCUUUUGUAUAGGGAUAAACCUAGAUACGUGUAUCUAGCUGAAGGUACUAUACGAAUAAGCACCGGCUAACUCCGUGCCAGCAGCCGCGGUAAUACGGAGGGUGCAAGCGUUAUCCGGAUUUAUUGGGUUUAAAGGGUCCGUAGGCGGAUCUGUAAGUCAGUGGUGAAAUCUCACAGCUUAACUGUGAAACUGCCAUUGAUACUGCAGGUCUUGAGUGUUGUUGAAGUAGCUGGAAUAAGUAGUGUAGCGGUGAAAUGCAUAGAUAUUACUUAGAACACCAAUUGCGAAGGCAGGUUACUAAGCAACAACUGACGCUGAUGGACGAAAGCGUGGGGAGCGAACAGGAUUAGAUACCCUGGUAGUCCACGCCGUAAACGAUGCUAACUCGUUUUUGGAGCGCAAGCUUCAGAGACUAAGCGAAAGUGAUAAGUUAGCCACCUGGGGAGUACGAACGCAAGUUUGAAACUCAAAGGAAUUGACGGGGGCCCGCACAAGCGGUGGAUUAUGUGGUUUAAUUCGAUGAUACGCGAGGAACCUUACCAAGGCUUAAAUGGGAAAUGACAGGUUUAGAAAUAGACUUUUCUUCGGACAUUUUUCAAGGUGCUGCAUGGUUGUCGUCAGCUCGUGCCGUGAGGUGUUAGGUUAAGUCCUGCAACGAGCGCAACCCCUGUCACUAGUUGCCAUCAUUAAGUUGGGGACUCUAGUGAGACUGCCUACCCAAGUAGAGAGGAAGGUGGGGAUGACGUCAAAUCAUCACGGCCCUUACGCCUUGGGCCACACACGUAAUACAAUGGCCGGUACAGAGGGCAGCUACCCUGCCAAGUGAUGCAAAUCUCGAAAGCCGGNNUCAGUUCGGAUUGGAGUCUGCAACUCGACUCUUUGAAGCUGGGAAUCGCUAG